CUAUGGCUCUCCCAUAGACAUGCAAUGCGAUAGCAGCUGGGUCUACUUAAGCCUCGUUCACAAUGCAGGCCUUAAUGCUCAAAUCAGUUUUGUUUUUCAAAUCCAUUUUGGACUAUUGACAGUCUAAACAGAAAGUUACAAGUGACCAAAUCGUAUUUGUGUGUGUUCAGACAGCAGUAAUUUGCUGGCAAGGCAACGCUAGUUGUCAUAGUAACGACAGGUUUGUGUGCAGUGUUGUAAGCUGAUCGGUGGUGGUGUUUGUGCUUCCUCAGAAGUUACGUCGCAAGCUAAGGUGACAACAAUGCAUGCCAUGGAUGUUUCCCAGUUGCUUUGAAUGUUGAAUAUCACAGGGUCUACUAACCACCGGUCCUGGCAACCCAUCAUUAUGCACACCUGGCAACCCUCAUUACGCACACCUGCACCCCAUCAUGAGGCACACCUGCACCCCAUCAAGAGGCACACCUGGACUCAAACACUUCCCUGACUACUGCCCCUUUAUCUAGCACUCCCUAGCAUCACUCUUCAGUUGCGGUCAGCUAAAGAAUGUAGAAUCAGCACCUUUACUGCCAACAUCAGCACAUUUACCUCCGAAGCCAGCAUCAGCAGAGCUAAAAAUGGAGCCUGGGGAAGGUCAAUGGAAAACAAACUUCCUCCUACCCCCUCCUUUGACGUCCUUCUGGAGGUCAACAAAUGCAACGAAGAAUGGGACUGGGGUGGGGGGAUGACUGACGGUAUAUACAGUGCCUUUCGGGAAAGUAUUCAGACCCCUUGUCUUUUUCCACAUUUUAUUACAUUACAAAAUUGAUGAAAUUAAUACAAAUCCUCAGCAAUCUACACACUAUCCCAUAAUGGCAAAGCGAAAACAGUUUUUAGAAAUGUUUGCAAAUGUAUUUAAAAUUAAAAACAUAAGUAUUCAGACCCUUUGUUAUGAGACUUGAAAUUUAGCUCAGGUGCAUCCUGUUUCCAUUGAUCAUCCUUGAGAUGUUUCCACAACUUGACUGGAGUCCACCUGUGGUACAUUAAAAUGAUUGGACAUGAUCUGGAAAGGCACACACCUGUCUAUAUCUGGUCCCACAGUUGACAGUGCAUGUCAAGUCAUGAGGUCGAGGGAAGUUCUACUUCAAGCGUUGCGAUGAGCUGCUGGCAAACGCAGGAAAGUGCUGUUUGAAUUAAUGCUUACGUCAGACUGCUCUAUCAUAUCAAAUCAUAGGCUCAAUUAUAAUACAAUAAACACACAGAAAUACGAGCCUUCGGUCAUUAAUUUGGUCUAAUCCGGAAACUAUCAUUUCGAAAACAAAACGUUCCGUAUUUUAUCAAACGGGUGGCAACCCUAAGUCUAAAUAUUGCUGUUACAUUGCACAACCUUCAAUGUUAUAUCAUAAUUAUGUAAAAUGCUGGCAAAUUAAUUACUGUCUUUGUUAGGAAGAUAUGGUCUUCACACAGCUCUCAACGAGCCAGACGGCCCAAACUACUGCAUAUACUGCUUACACGGAAUGCAAGAGAAGUGACACAAUUUCCCUUGUUAAUAUUGCCUGCUAAAAGUAAUUUCUUUUAACUAAAUAUGCAGGUUUAAAAAUAUAUACUUGUGUAUUGAUUUUAAGAAAGGCAUUGGUGCUUCUGAUUAGGUACAUUGGUGCUACGAUUGUGCUUUUUUUGCGAAUGUGCUUUUGUUAAAUCAUCACCCGUUUGGCGAAGUAGGCUGUGAUCUGAUGAUAAUUAUCAGGCACCGCAUUGAUUAUAUGCAACACAGGACAAGCUAGUUAAAUUAGUAACAUCAUCAACCAUAGUGACUAUAAUAAGAUUGCAUAACAUAACAGGUGGUCAGCCUACCACACAGUCUCCUCGUGGAGUGCAAUGUAAUUUAUUUUACCUUUAUUUUACUAGGCAAGUCAGUUAAGAACAAAUUCUUAUUUUCAAUGACGGCCUAGGAACAGUGGGUGAACUGCCUGUUCAGGGGCAGAACGACAGAUUUGUACCUUGUCAGCUCGGGGAUUUGAACUUGCAACCUUUUGGUUACUAGUCCAACGCUCUAACCACUAGGCUACCCUGCCUAACGAGAUCGCUGUAAUCAGCCAUAAUCUGCACCCAAAAAGGCUGAUUACCGAUUGUUAUGAAAACUUGAAAUCGGCCCUAAUCAAUCGGUCAACCUCUAUUUGGUACCACCAAGACUCUUCCUAGAGCUGGCCGGUCGGCCAAACUGAGCAAUCGGUGGAGAAGGGCCGUGGACAGGGAGGUGACCAAGAACCCGGUGGUCACUCUGACAGUGCUCUAGAGUUCCUCUGUGGAGAUGGGAGAAACUUCCAGACAACCAUCUCUGCAGCACUCCACCAAUCAGACCUUUAUGGUAGAUUGGCCAGACAGAACCCACUCUUUAGUAAAAGGCACAUGACAGCCUGCUUGGAGUUUGUAAAAAGGAUAUCUAAAGGACUCUCAGACUAUGAUAAACAAGAUUCUCUGGUCUGAUGAAACCUAUAUUGAACUCCUUGAAUGCCAAGUGUCAAGUCUGGAGGAAACCUGGCACCAACCCUACGGUGAAGCAUGGUAGUAGCAGCAUCAUGCUGUGGGGAUGUUUUUCAGCGGCAGGGAAUGUGGGAGACUUCAAUAUGAUGGUUAUUAUAUCAAUAUUUGUGCAUAAAAGGGUUUCCACCGACAUUUCUCACAAAAUUAAUUUUACUGACACAAAAAUAUCUCACAUUGUCUAGCGUAUUUUAUUUUGUUUUGUCGACAUUUGGAAAUACGUUGUUUCCAUCAGGUCAUGACAUUUUUUAUAUCCAACAUGUACUUUACUUGCAUAAAAAGUUUGAAUGGAAACCUGGUUAAUAACCAGAAUUUUUGCUGGCGUAGAAAGUUGUUCAAUGUAAAUCCUGAAUUCGAAAUUGGGUAAAUGUGUGAACUGGAGGUGUUUCAAUGCAGACCCCAUAUUCAAAACACAUCAAAGUGUACUGUGAAUGUAGACAACAAGUCAACCUGUAUUUUUUCUUUGAUUAUAAAGAACAUACAGUAUUUCCUCACAAUUAUCACUUUAUUUUUGUAUAUCUUAUUUUUUUUCAGUCAUAUAUAAACAAACAAACAUAUCACAAUUAAUAGUUUUUGAAUAAAAAACCUUUUUGUCAA